ACCUAUUUAAAAACAUCUUGUGGUUUUUGAUGGAUUUUUCUGAGGUCAAGGUGUAAAAUUAUUUGCACAUUUUCUCUUCCUGAUCAGGUGUUUCUGGGAGUAGUAAACUCAUAGUAACACAGUCAUGCUAGUUUGCUUCAACCAGGGAAUGUAACUCCAGAAAAUACUCAGAGAUGGUCUUCAGAGAUUUCUGAAUAAGAUCGUUUUCUGAAGUGUUCUGUACAACAGUGAAAAGAAUGAGUGUCGAGUAUUAAUAAUUGUGUUGUGAACAAAUAGUUUACUGACAUGGGAAGCUACCCAAAUAAUUACGUUCAGAAAACAAAUUAAUAUAGUAUCAUGGUUCCAGUGGAAGGACUGAUGUUGAAGCUGAGGCUCCAAUACUUUGGCCACCUGAUUCGAAGAGCUGACUCAUUAGAAAAGACCCUGAUGCUGGGAAAAAUUGAGGGCAGGAGGAGAAGGGGAUGACGGAGAAUGAGAUUGUUG
ensembl:lncRNA